CACACCGCGUGAGUGAGAAGGGUUUCGGCUCGUAAAGCUCUGUUGUUAAAGAAGAACACGUAUGAGAGUAACUGUUCAUACGUUGACGGUAUUUAACCAGAAAGUCACGGCUAACUACGUGCCAGCAGCCGCGGUAAUACGUAGGUGGCAAGCGUUAUCCGGAUUUAUUGGGCGUAAAGAGAGUGCAGGCGGUUUUYUAAGUCUGAUGUGAAAGCCUUCGGCUUAACCGGAGAAGUGCAUCGGAAACUGGAUAACUUGAGUGCAGAAGAGGGUAGUGGAACUCCAUGUGUAGCGGUG
rnacentral:rRNA from 1 species